GAGGAGGGGCUGGGCACCUGAACAGAAGCAGCGCUGCGUGGCGGAGUGAAGGCCUGGAGGCUGACGUUCGGUUGAUGACCGCUGGAUGGAAAGACACAGUGGCCACGGAGGGUUCCAGCUGAACACCGCCCAGCUGGGCAGCACUGAAGUCCCUGACCGCUUUCCACCGUCACAGACACGGCCCCAAAUAGCCCUUGCGAAUACAACUCUCCGGCUGGACUACAAUGCGCCAUGAGGUGACAGUGAUUGCACGAAGGUGGCAGAAAGAUACAACUCAUCAAUGGGAGACAGGCACCAGAACAUUCACGGUUAUCUGCGGGACGAAACCAAGACCCCAGUUUCCCUCUGGGGCCAUGCAGCCCCAGCCAGCCAGCAAGGCUUACAGCUGUGGCCCCUGCCCCCGACUCUCCCGUGGGUCUCCCCAGCUGGCCCAGUCUAGGAGGCCUUCCAGCCUCCAAGUCCACCCAGGCCAAGACCUGAAUGUGCAACUCUCCAAAAUGAGCACUAAACACCCAAAGCAGGCCAGUUCCUUAUGCCCUUUCUCAGUCCCACCCACUUACCCAGAGGUAGCGGGGUCGGGGAGGGAGGAGGCACAGGGCCAAUCAACUGUUACCUUGCAUAUAUCCUUCUCUUUAUAAUAUUACUUAAUCCUUACAACGACACCUUGCGCCAAGUACCACACCUAUAAAUACCCCUACUUUACAGAUAAGGAAGCAGGCAACUGGGCAAAGUCACUCAGCUAUUAAGUGGCUCAAAUAAUAUCCAUUAAUCAAUCAGCCUUACAAAAGGGGCAAAAAAGAACACCAAGACUGUAAUGACAAAGUUGGUUACUCUUCUGUGCUUAUCACAGAGAACCAUCUGCCCACUGGCUGCCCUUCUGGUAAAAAGUGGACAUUAUUCCUAACAGCCAAAAAGUGGUAAGAAUCCAAACAGCCAUCAACUGGUGAACAGAUCAACAAAAUGUGGUAUAUUCAUAAAAUUAAAUACCAUUCAACAAUAAAGAGCUGUUGAACAAAGUACGAAUACAUGCUACAAUAUAGAUGAACCUUGAAAACAUGAUGCCAAGAAACCAAAGUCAGACACAAAACACGACAUAUUGUAUGAAUAUACUUAUACGAAAUGUCCAGAAAAGGCAAAUCUACAGGGAUAGGAAGUAAAUGAUUGCCUACAGCUGGAGGCUGGAAGGGGCCCGACUGCAAACGGGCAUAAGGGGUCUUU